rnacentral:rRNA from 1 species
GAUGAACGCUGGCGGCAUGCCUAAGACAUGCAAGUCGAACGAGAUGGCCCAAUGAAGAAUGAGUGCUUGCACGAUUUCCGAUUUGGAUUCCCGUCUAGUGGCGCAAGGGUGAGUAAUACGUGGGUAAUCUACCUUCGAGUUUGGAAUAACAAUUAGAAAUGAUUGCUAAUGCCGAAUUAUAUAUUUUGUGAUACGUCACUUUAUAUUAAAAGGAGCCUUUAAAGCUUCGCUUGAAGAUGAGCCCACGCCGUAUUAGCUUGUUGUGGGGUAAUGGCCUACCAAGGCGACGAUGCGUAGCCGACCUGAGAGGGUGAUCGGCCACACUGGGACUGAGACACGGCCCAGACUCCUACGGGAGACAGCAGUUAGGAAUAUUAGGUCAAUGGACGCAAGUCUGAACCAGCCAUGCCGCGUGCAGGAUGACGGCGUCUAUGAGUUGUAAACUGCUUUGUAUAAGGGUAAACCUCGGGACGUGUCCCGAG